rnacentral:tRNA from 1 species
CAAAGAUUAGUUUAAUAAAAUAUUAGACUUGGGGUCUAAAGUUAUGUUAGUUAAUUAGUGUAUCUUUGA